UACAGAGGGCCCAAGCGUUGUUCGGAUUCAUUGGGCGUAAAGGGUGCGUAGGUGGCUCGCUAAGUCAGGGGUGAAAUUUCGGAGCUUAACUCCGAAACUGCAUUUGAUACUGGCGUGCUUGAGGACUGGAGAGGAGACUGGAAUUUACGGUGUAGCAGUGAAAUGCGUAGAGAUCGUAAGGAAGACCAGUGGCGAAGGCGGGUCUCUGGACAGUUCCUGACACUGAGGCACGAAGGCCAGGGGAGCAAACGGG
rnacentral:rRNA from 1 species